GCGCGACGUUUCAGAAAGUUUAUAAUAGCACUGCCAGCAGAAGAUCAGCAACCUGACAGCCACUAAGAGGAGUAAGGACAAACUGCUACUCACACAAUGGAGUAUAUGCCGCGGCAGUGCCAAGGAAGGAGCUACAGGCAUCAAUGUCUGGUUUCCAGACCACAACCAGGAGUCAUAUCCAUUCUUCAAAUGGUUUGUAAAGAAUGUGCGCUUAAACGAGGCAGGAUGGCAGUGGUCGUCAUAUCACCCGGAACAAUCACCAGGCAAGGACGACUGCGUUGUGACUGCUGUUUUGCAGAGAGCCCCUGUCCAUCAUUAUUAAUACUUCCAUGGAGAAACCACGUUUUCAUUUAAAUUUAACUUGGCGUCUCAGCUGGUGUCCACGCGUGUUUACCGACUCGUCUGUGGACCUCAGAAGCCGCGGUCCCUGAGCCGAGGGCGGAGGAGCGCUGCCCACCCCGCCAGAUGGAAAAGGGAC
rnacentral:lncRNA from 1 species